rnacentral:rRNA from 1 species
AUUGAACGCUGGCGGUAGGCCUAACACAUGCAAGUCGAGCGGCUGAAGAGUGCUUGCUCCUGGAUUCAGCGGCGGACUGGUGAGUAAUGCCUAGGAAUCUGCCUGGUUGUGGUGGCUAACGUCCGGAAACGGGCGCUAAUACCGCAUACGUCCUGAGGGCGUACGUGUGGGAUCUUCGGACCUCCCGAUAUCAGACGAGUCUAUGUCGGAUUAGCUAGUUGGCGGGGUAAAGGCCUACCAAGGCGACGAUCCGUAACUGGUCUGAGAGGAUGAUCAGUCACACUGGAACUGAGACACGGUCCAGACUCCUACGGGAGGCAGCAGUGGGGAAUAUUGGACAAUGGGCGAAAGCCUGAUCCAGCCAUGCCGCGUGUGUGAAGAAGGUCUUCGGAUUGUAAAGCACUUUAAGUUGGGAAGAAGAGCAGUAAGUUAAUACCUUGCUGUUUUGACGGUACCAACAGAAUAAGCACCGGCUAACUUCGUG